UAUCUAUUUAAUUCUGGUUGUGGAAGAUUUUUGGGAUUGUGUCACAUAGAUGCUUUUUAGAACUGUGGCAGGAUGUGCGAAUGUGUCUUCGUUUUAGUGGCUAGACCUUGGGCUUUAGGGUAACCUAGAACAGGCUUCCCUUAUAAAAGCAGUGAAUUCUCAGUGCCAGCAUCUGCGGUUAUUCUGAUUGCUGUCUCUUCUUGUAGGUGUAAAUAGUUUAUAAAUAAAGGCAAUCUGUUGGGUAGAAUCUUGUGUUUGGUAGGCAAUUGUUUAUAAUUUUAUUAGGUUGGGCUUUGAUAAGAAAAGGAUUAGAGACCCUUGUAUUCGGUUUUUGACUUUUGUGCCGUAGUGUAAACUAAAAGAAUUUGGCAGCCGAUGAAAUUCGUCCGGGGGAGUGUGCAUUUUAAGAGAUAGUCCGCUUAUAAGUUUACCGCCCCUAUCUUUGUUAGUGUAUAUCCGGUUUAAGACUCAUAGCGAGUGUUAUUGAGUGUAAUAUUUUUAUUGAAGCCAGGUCGAUGUGCUGCUAAUGGGGCGGGAUUUGUGCACUACAAUUUAAAGGUGUUUUGUUGGGAAAUCUUAUUCAUAUUUAGGACUCGGAAGUAGGCAGGAAGUUUAUUGAUUAAUGGUGUCCUGUCGAAAGCUGAUUUAGUUGGGGUACACACCGCCCGUCACCCAAAGCGCUAGCUGUGGUAAGUCGUAACAUGGUAACAUUUGGGGAACCAUAUGUUAGUUGUUU
rnacentral:rRNA from 1 species